GUCUCCAGUAUGCUAAAUUCCUAAGAAAAAGUUCUUUAGUGGUAUCUAAAGAUAUUUAGACAAAGAAUAUUGCAUCUUCUAGAAAUAUAACCAAUGGCAGUCAAGAAUUCCUUUUCUCUUCUACUAUCGUCAUUGAUGAUGUUUGCUCUGAUCUGCAUACCCACAAUUUCAGGAGAAAUCAAAUUCUGUGGGAUGAAAUGUUAUAGCACACCGGAAUGCAAUGCAACAUGCAUGCACGAAGGAUACGAAAAAGGGAUAUGUCUACAAAACGAUUACGGUAGUCUUGAAUGUUGCUGCCAAGGUAAUCUUCGAUCUAAUGCUGGUUCUCCCAUUUCCAGUGUGGAUCUUACUAAAUGAUCAUUCAUGUUAUAUGUACUUUCAGUUAUAUGAAUAAAAGAAAUAGGACAACCGAUAACAUAUUUCU